UACGUAGGUGACCAGCGUUGUCCGGAAUUAUUGGGCGUAAAGAGCUCGUAGGCGGCCGGUUGCGUCUGCUGUGAAAUCCCGGGGCUUAACCCCGGGCGUGCAGUGGAUACGGGCCGGCUGGAGGCAGGCAGGGGAGAAUGGAAUUCCCGGUGUAGCGGUGAAAUGCGCAGAUAUCAGGAGGAACACCGGUGGCGAAGGCGGUUCUCUGGGCAUGACCUGACGCUGAGGAGCGAAAGUGUGGGGAGCGAACAGG
rnacentral:rRNA from 1 species